rnacentral:rRNA from 1 species
ACGCUCGACACCUACGGGAGUCAGCAGUAGGGAAUCUUCCACAAUGGACGCAAGUCUGAUGGAGACNCCGCGNGNGUGAGAAGGUUUGGUANCGUAAAGACUCUGUUGUUGGUGAGAAGGAUAGAGGUAGUAACUGGCCUUUACUUUUGUACGGUAAAUUACAACCAACGAAAAGUACACCGGCGUAACUAACGUGCCAGUAGCCGCGGUAACUCGUAGACGGCGGGGCGUCGGGGCCUAAAGGGGCCAGC